rnacentral:rRNA from 1 species
CCUACGGGGGGCAGCAGUGGGGAAUAUUGGACAAUGGGGGGAACCCUGAUCCAGCCAUGCCGCGUGUGUGAAGAAGGCCCUCGGGUUGUAAAGCACUUUCAGUGAGGAAGAACGCCUGGUGGUUAAUACCCAUCAGGAAAGACAUCACUCACAGAAGAAGCACCGGCUAACUCCGUGCCAGCAGCCGCGGUAAUACGGAGGGUGCGAGCGUUAAUCGGAAUUACUGGGCGUAAAGCGCGCGUAGGUGGCUUGAUAAGCCGGUUGUGAAAGCCCAGGGCUCAACCUGGGAACGGCAUCCGGAACUGUCAAGCUAGAGUGCAGGAGAGGAAGGUAGAAUUCCCGGUGUAGCGGUGAAAUGCGUAGAGAUCGGGAGGAAUACCAGUGGCGAAGGCGGCCUUCUGGACUGACACUGACACUGAGGUGCGAAAGCGUGGGUAGCAAACAGGAUUAGAUACCCCAGUAGUC